UGGGGAAUAUUGCACAAUGGGCGCAAGCCUGAUGCAGCCAUGCCGCGUGUAUGAAGAAGGCCUUCGGGUUGUAAAGUACUUUCAGCGGGGAGGAAGGGAGUAAAGUUAAUACCUUUGCUCAUUGACGUUACCCGCAGAAGAAGCACCGGCUAACUCCGUGCCAGCAGCCGCGGUAAUACGGAGGGUGCAAGCGUUAAUCGGAAUUACUGGGCGUAAAGCGCACGCAGGCGGUCUGUCAAGUCGGAUGUGAAAUCCCCGGGCUCAACCUGGGAACUGCAUUCGAAACUGGCAGGCUAGAGUCUUGGAGAGGGGGGUAGAAUUCCAGGUGUAGCGGUGAAAUGCGUAGAGAUCUGGAGGAAUACCGGUGGCGAAGGCGUCCCCCUGGACAAAGACUGACGCUCAGGUGCGAAAGCGGGGGGAGCAAACAGG
rnacentral:rRNA from 1 species